CAAUAGCGUAUAUUAAAGUUGUUGCAGUUAAAAGCUCGUAGUUGGAUUUCUGGUGGGAGCGAUCGGUCUGGCGCUUAGCGCGAGUACUUGCAUCGUCUCCGGCCAUCCUUGGGGAAAGUCUGUCUGGCAUUAAGUUGUCGGGCAGAGGAUCCUCAUCGUUUACUGUGAAAAAAUUAGAGUGUUCAAAGCAGGCUUAUGCCGUUGAAUAUAUUAGCAUGGAAUAAUAAGAUAGGACUUUGGUACUAUUUUGUUGGUUUGCGCACCAAAGUAAUGAUUAAUAGGGACAGUUGGGGGUAUUCGUAUUCCGUUGUCAGAGGUGAAAUUCUUGGAUUUACGGAAGACGAACUACUGCGAAAGCAUUUACCAAGGAUGUUUUCAUUAA
rnacentral:rRNA from 1 species